AGCAGUUUUAGCUCAAGAAAUUUGGAAAUGCCAUAAGCACAAAGAAAGAAAUGAUCUUUUGGAAUAUUAAAUUCCAAUAUUAAAUAUUAAGUUCCAGAUUUCCACAAUAGGAGGAAAGUGUCCAUAUUCACUAAGCUUCUCCCCGACAAAGUUCUGGGAUGGGUGGAUCAUUCCCGUCUAACGGAAGCUGUUGGAAGCCAAGAGCCGAUCCCUAAUGGUCCAAAUGCAUUUCAGUUUCCACAGAAAAGCAGAUUGGCUUAAGAGAAGUUUAAGAGAAGCCGUGAGCUGGCCAGGUGGGCCAGGGCCUCCAGGAACAUCUUUCAUGUCAUAGUUCUUUUCAAAUCACAGCCAUCACUGAAGCCGACUAACUGGCUCUCUGGUCUCCCAUCCACGGGGCCCCGGACCCUGUUGUUGGCGUCCACGGCGAGGGAUCUGGCUUUUCCAACAGAAACGCCCAUCCUGCUCAUCAUGGUGCCUGUUUACCCGAAGCGCCCUCCCAUCUAGGAGAUCUUGUAACACACAGACGAGCCGGUCCUUGGGGUGCUGGUCCUUCCCUCUUUAAGCGUGCAAUGAAAAGCUGAAUUUAAAGGAGGAAAACCAGCCUGGAAAGGAGCCACCACAUGUCCUCAAAGAUGUCCCUGAACCGCCUGUAUAUGAGGGCAGCAGGGCCCUCCCGUGCAGCCUUCCAGGGUCAGCCAGCAGGGGUCUAUCCAAGGUGGACUGCGGAGGGGAAAGGAUGCUUCCUGGACAAAUGGGCAGCGUGAGAAGUCACCAUGUCAUGAUAAAUAAAGAGGAUGGAAAUGGGGAAAGAGGCAGAAGGAAAAGAGGAAAUAAAAUAAUCUUCUCUAAAAUGUAAUUUUCUCUGGGAACAGCCUUCCUUUCAGUUCACUAAUCACCACAUGCGUAGCCAGGGGUUAAAGUCCAAAUCCUUUAUUGUCUCUUUCUGAGUCUUGUCUCCUUUCCUGGAGCCCAGUUAGCUUUCUUAGAGGCAGAUCUCUCUCCUUGGUUCCCAGAGCUUGGGCUCCCGCCUCCUUCUCUGGCUUCUGAAUCUCCCCGACUCCCAAGAGUUUGUGCUUGAGCCUCCAGUCACAGAUGGACGAUGGAAUGAAUCUGUCUGGGCCUUCAAGAGCUUCUAGUGUGAUUGUCCUGCUGGCCCUGAGGCUUCUUGCUGCACACUGAGUACACACCAAUCAUUACAUCACUAGGAAGCCAUUAUUUGUGGUAGGAUUCAAUCAGCGCUAAACUAGAUUUAACCAUUGUCUCCUCCAUUCCACUCAGUACCUUGUUUCAAGUUCUGGCCCAUAACCUCUCCAUGUAG